CCUACGGGUGACAGCAGUGAGGAAUAUUGGUCAAUGGACGAGAGUCUGAACCAGCCAAGUAGCGUGAAGGAUGACUGCCCUAUGGGUUGUAAACUUCUUUUAUAUGGGAAUAAAAUGUUCCACGUGUGGGAUGUUGUAUGUACCAUAUGAAUAAGGAUCGGCUAACUCCGUGCCAGCAGCCGCGGUAAUACGGAGGAUCCGAGCGUUAUCCGGAUUUAUUGGGUGUAAAGGGAGCGUCGGUGGAUUGUUAAGUCAGUUGUGAAAGUUUGCGGCUCAACCGUAAAAUUGCAGUUGAAACUGGCAGUCUUGAGUACAGGAGAGGUGUGCGGAAUGCGUGGUGUAGCGGUGAAAUGCUUAGAUAUCACGAAGAACUCCGAUUGCGAAGGCAGCUCACUGGACUGCAACUGACACUGAGGCUCGAAAGCGUGGGGAUCGAACAGGAUUAGAUACCCCUGUAGUC
rnacentral:rRNA from 1 species